rnacentral:rRNA from 1 species
AUGCCGCUCGUUGGAGACCCAUCGUUGUGCCCUGAGGAGGGGCAUGUGGUCAUCACCUCCACCCAGGCCAUGGAAGACAGCGCCGUCAACCUCUCCACCCUGGGUGCGCUGGUGUGGCUUGGAGGGAGUCGACCACGCAUCAACGCCGAGGAGGUCAGGAACGCCAUCGCCACCAAAUUCGUCAUCAACCGCAACUUCAUCAAGGUGGUGCCGCACUAUCCAGAGGAUUUCUUCGUCCUCUUCUCCCACCAGCACCACCGCGACCUAGUCACCGCCUCGCCGGGCCGCUUCAAUCACGGCGGGCUGGACUUCCACACCGCCAAAUGGAGGCCGGAGGCACACGCUGAUCUGGUGGAGGCGUACUACCAUGUUCACCUGUGCAUUGAAAAUCUGCCGCUCAACGCAUGGUGCGACGAGGUGGCAACCCAAGUGCUCGGCCCCGACACUUUCCUGCACUACUUCGACAUCGCCACAGUCAAGAGAGAUGACUCCUCCUACCUCGACCUCUAG